rnacentral:rRNA from 1 species
UACGGGGGGGGGCAAGCGUUGUUCGGAAUUACUGGGCGUAAAGGGCGCGUAGGCGGUUGGAUAAGUCAGCUGUGAAAACCACGGGCUUAACUCGUGGCCUGCAGUUGAGACUGUCUGGCUUGAGUGUGGGAGAGGAGAGUGGAAUUCCUGGUGUAGCGGUGAAAUGCGUAGAUAUCAGGAGGAACACCGGUGGCGAAGGCGGCUCUCUGGACCACAACUGACGCUGAGGCGCGAAAGCUAGGGGAGCAAACAGG